GGAUGGGAAUUUUCAGUGGUAGAAUGCUCGCCUGCCACGCGGGCGGCCCGGGUUCGAUUCCCGGCCGAUGCA